AAUUAUGAGGAGAGAUUUGACUGAUUGCAACCUCGGUAAAAAAUGCUAAAGCAGGACUU
rfam:Flavobacterium akiainvivens strain IK-1 scaffold00001, whole genome shotgun sequence.